rnacentral:rRNA from 1 species
UACGUAGGGUGCAAGCGUUAUCCGGAAUUAUUGGGCGUAAAGAGCUCGUAGGCGGCCUGUCGCGUCGGUUGUGAAAGCCCGGGGCUCAACCCCGGGUCUGCAGUCGAUACGGGCAGGCUAGAGUUCGGUAGGGGAGAUCGGAAUUCCUGGUGUAGCGGUGAAAUGCGCAGAUAUCAGGAGGAACACCGGUGGCGAAGGCGGAUCUCUGGGCCGAUACUGACGCUGAGGAGCGAAAGCGUGGGGAGCGAACAGG